GUUGAGGGGAAUGUUGUCUGGUUGGAGACCUGGCUCGCACGACGGCCAGACGGAUCGAUCGACGGCGUGCGUGCGCAGUUUCGGACCAGGCUUCAUUCCCCCCAAC
rfam:Triticum aestivum genome assembly, contig: Triticum_aestivum_CS42_TGACv1_scaffold_321618_4BL